AGGCAGCUUGGGACUGGAAGAAGGACCUUCGAAAUUUGGCCUCAGAGAACACCAAUAGGCAGCUUGGGACUGGAAGAAGGACCUUGGAAAUUUGGCCUCAGAGAACACAAAUAGAAGGUACUCCUUAUUUCGCGGGCAGCUUGGGACUGGAAGAAGGACCUUCGAAAUUUGGCCUCAGAGAACACCAAUAGGCAGCUUGGGACUGGAAGAAGGACCUUCGAAAUUUGGCCUCAGAGAACACCAAUAGGU